GGAGACGUCGCAUAGCCCGGUCGAGUGCGCCUCACUGCUAAUGAGGUAACCAUGAAAAUGGUUCGGAGGUUCAAAUCCUCUCGUCUCCGCCA
rnacentral:tRNA from 2 species